rnacentral:rRNA from 1 species
AUGGAUUAGGCAUGCAAGUCGAACGAGAAGCUCUAGCUUGCUAGAGUAGGAAGUGGCGAAAGGGUGAGUAACACGUGAGUAAUCUGCCUCUAACUCGGGGAUAGCCUCUGGAAACGGAGAUUAAUACCGGAUGUGAUGAUUGAAUCGCAUGAUUCUUUCAUUAAAAUUUUUUGGUUGGAGAUGGGCUCGCGUCCCAUUAGCUAGUUGGUAAGGUAACGGCUUACCAAGGCAACGACGGGUAGGUGGUCUGAGAGGAUGGUCACCCACACUGGAACUGAGACACUGUCCAGACUCCUACGGGAGGCUGCAGUCGAGAAUCUUCCGCAAUGGGCGAAAGUCUGACGGAGCAAUGCCGCGUGAAUGAUGAAGGCCUUCGGGUUGUAAAAUUCUGUCACCUGGGACGAAAUUUGACGGUACCAGGAGAGGAAGUGACGGCUAACUACGUGCCAGCGGCCGCGGUAAUACGUAGGUCACGAGCGUUAAUCGGAUUUAUUGGGCGUAAAGGGUCCGCAGGGGGUUUUAUAAGUUUGACGUGAAAUGUC